rnacentral:rRNA from 1 species
CAGCCGCCACGGUAAUACGGAGGGUGCAAGCGUUAAUCGGAAUUACUGGGCGUAAAGCGCACGCAGGCGGUCUGACAAGUCAGAUGUGAAAUCCCCGGGCUUAACCUGGGAACUGCAUUUGAAACUGUCAGGCUGGAGUCUUGUAGAGGGGGGUGGAAUUCCAGGUGUAGCGGUGAAAUGCGUAGAGAUCUGGAGGAAUACCGGUGGCGAAGGCGGCCCCCUGGACAAAGACUGACGCUCAGGUGCGAAAGCGUGGGGAGCAAACAGGAUUAGAGACCCGUGUAGUCCCUGUCUCUUAUAC